AACGAACGCUGGCGGCAUGCCUAACACAUGCAAGUCGAACGAGACCUUCGGGUCUAGUGGCGCACGGGUGCGUAACGCGUGGGAACCUGCCCUUAGGUUCGGACUAACUCCCCGAAAGGGGUGCUAAUACCGGAUAAUGUCUUCGGCCCAAAGAUUUCUCGCCUUUGGAUGGGCCCGCGUUGGAUUAGCUAGUUGGUAGGGUAAAAGCCCACCAAGGCGACGAUGCGUAGCUGGUCUGGGAGGAUGGUUAGCCACACCUGGACUAGGACCCGGCCCAGACUCCUACGGGAGGGAGGAAUGGGGGACAGUGGACAAUGGGCGAAAGCCUGAUCCAGCAAUGCCGCGUGAGUGAUGAAGGCCUUAGGGUUGUAAAGCUCUUUUACCCGGGAUGAUAAUGACAGUACCGGGAGAAUAAGCUCCGGCUAACUCCGUG
rnacentral:rRNA from 1 species